AUUUGUUUAACUGUGGCAAUAAGAAAUAUUGUGAUUUAUUUACUGCAUAAAAAAAUUUUUUUUUGUUAUUCUAUUUGUUUAGUUGAGUUUAUUUAGCAGUUAGUUUUUUGUUAAAAUUAAUGUUUUAUAAGGAUAAAUCAUUUAUAAAGGGGAUAGGGCACAGUGCCAGCAUCUGCGGUUAUUCUGUUUUCUUUGUUUUUUUAUAGAUUUAGUUUAUUUAUUAAUAUGCAAUAUUAGGUUAAAUUUUUUUGUUUGUGUUUUAUGUAAUUAAAUUUGUAUAAGAUGUAUUUUAAUGACAGGGAUUAGAUACCCCAUUAAUAUAUUUUGUAUUUAUUGUCUUAGUUUUAUAACUAAAAUGGUUUGGCAGUGAGUGAUUCUUUUUAGGGGAAGGUGUGGUGUAAAGGAUGUUCCGCCUAUUAUUUUACUUUUAUUAUGUUGGUGUAUAUCUGAUUUAAUAUUAUUGCUUAAUGGUUUGAGUUUGUGUAUAUUUAUUUAAGUCAAGUCUAUGUGCUGCUUAUAAAAGUAUUCAUGCGUUACUUUAAUAAUAUGUUGAUUGAAAGAUUAAUUAAUUUAGGACUUAAUAGUAAUAUUUAAUUAGUUUGUAAAUGUGAAUAUAGUUUAGCUCAUGUACACACCGCCCGUCACCCUCGAUAAUUAUUGAGGUAAGUCGUAACAAGGUAACUUUAAAUGAAUUUGAAGUUGGUUAUUAAUUUAGUUAAUAUUA
rnacentral:ncRNA from 1 species